rnacentral:pre_miRNA from 1 species
UUCAAUUUUUGACUAUUCGUCUUAUUUAAAAAAAUUUUACGAUUGAUAUUUUUGUUUUUAUUAGAUAAUAAAUCAUAAAUAGUAUUUUACGUGCGAACUAAUUUUUUCUAAUUUCCUAAAAAUUUUUCAAAUAAGACGGAUGGUCAAACGUUGGACACGGAAA